rnacentral:rRNA from 1 species
GACGAACGCUGGCGGCGUGCUUAAUACAUGCAAGUCGAACGCAAAGGCAGUGCCUUUCUUCUCUGCAUGAGUGGCGAACGGGUGAGUAACACGUAGGUAACCUGCCCUUUAGUUUGGGAUAACUACUGGAAACGAGAGCUAAUACCGCAUAAGAGUACCUGCUGCAUGAUAUUUGCUGGAAAGUUGCAGUGGCUUCGCUACGACUCGCGUCUUCUUAGCUUGGUGGUGGGGUAGUGGUACACCAAGGCGAUGACGCGUAGCCGUACGGAGAGGGUGAGCGGCCACACUGGGACGGAGACACGGCCCAGACGCCCAGGGGAGGCAGCAGGAGGGAAUCUGGGGGAAUGGACGGAAGUCUGACCGAGCAACGCCGCGUGAGGGAAGAAGGUUGUCGGAUCGGAAAGCUCGGUUGUAAGAGAAGAACGAGUGUGAGAGUGGAACGUUCACACUGUGACGGUAUCUUACCAGAAAGGGACGGCUAACUACGUG